rnacentral:rRNA from 1 species
UGGGGAAUUUUGGACAAUGGGCGAAAGCCUGAUCCAGCAAUGCCGCGUGUGUGAAGAAGGCCUUCGGGUUGUAAAGCACUUUUGUCCGGAAAGAAAUCCUUGGCUCUAAUAAGUCGGGGGAUGACGGUACCGGAAGAAUAAGCACCGGCUAACUACGUGCCAGCAGCCGCGGUAAUACGUAGGGUGCAAGCGUUAAUCGGAAUUACUGGGCGUAAAGCGUGCGCAGGCGGUUUGCUAAGACCGAUGUGAAAUCCCCGGGCUCAACCUGGGAACUGCAUUGGUGACUGGCAGGCUAGAGUAUGGCAGAGGGGGGUAGAAUUCCACGUGUAGCAGUGAAAUGCGUAGAGAUGUGGAGGAAUACCGAUGGCG